GCAAAUUUCUCGCUGUCGUCGAGCCACUUCUCGUCGCAGAGCUUGGUCAACAACAACAAGCUUGGUUGCCGUCGAGCUUUUCCGUCUCAGAGCUAGGUUGCCGUCGAGCCUCUUCCCAUCGAGACAGCGCACGCCUCUUCCCGUCAAAUUCGCUCAUCUUCGUUGCCGUCUCUGCUGCGCUACAAGAGUUGGUGGAUUUAUUGCUUGCAGGGCACUUUCUCAGAGAAACAAUGAUCCUACUAGAGCUUCACGGCCUUGGGAUAGUGACCGCGAUGGGUUUGUCAUGGGUGAAGGAGCUGGAGUUCUGCUUCUGGAAGAACUUGAGCACGGAAAGAAAAGGGGUGCAACAAUCUAUGCUGAAUUUCUCGGUGGAAGUUUCACUUCUGAUGCUCAUCACGUGACAGAACCUCAUCCUGAAGGUUAUUCUUUUUUCACACUCCAUCUUCACUAUUAUUAAAAAUGAUUUUAAAAACCACUGAUUCUUAUUAUCUCCUCAAGACCUACCUACCCUAACUUCAAUUGGUUGUCAAUUGCCAUUGUCCUAUUAGUUAAGCUGUUUUACUACUGCCUUUAUCUUUCCUGGAACUAAGGUCACUCAAUCAAAACAGGACACAAAGGUCAUUGUGGGAUCUAAAAAGGAGCAACUGCACAUUAAGCUGGUGUCGCAUAUAAUAAGGGUGAAAUAUGUGUGGCUGGCUCACGAGUGUUUGUCCAGGAAGGAAUUUAUGACAAGUUUGUUGAGAAAGUGGUCGCAAAGGCGAAGGCAAAGGUGGUUGAUGACCCUUUUGAUCCAAAUGUUCAACAGGGACCCCAAGCUAGCAAAAACCAGUAUGAGAAGAUACUUUCAUAUAUAGAGCAUGGGAAGAGGGAGGGUGCUACAUUGCUAACUGGUGGUAAGCCAUUGGACAGAAAAGACUAUUUC